GGGAUGACACAGUAGGAUAAGCUAAGCACACUGUUGGUUAUGUGUGCCCAAGCAUUGAGGCAGUCAAAGUAGGCAAAUCCGCUUUGAUAAUGCUGGGAUGUGAUGGGGAGCGAAAUUUAGUAGCGAAGUAGCUGAUUUCACACUGUCAAGAAAAGUCUCUAUCGAGGUUAAAGGUACCCGUACCGCAAACCGACACAGGUGGGUGAGGAGAGUAUCCUAAGGCCAGCGAGAGAACUGUUGUUAAGGAACUCGGCAAAAUGACCCCGUAACUUAGGGAUAAGGGGUGCCACCAUCAGGUGGCCGCAGAGAAUAGGCCCAAGCGACUGUUUACCAAAAACAUAGG
rnacentral:rRNA from 1 species